GAUGGGCUUUGUUGCAAGGACGCUGUUCGGGAAUAUGAUCUUCGUAUUGUCGAUCUUCAGGAACACUGUCGUUAGAAUGUUCAUCUCCUCCACAACCACCUGAAAUUCAAAGUGAUCAUUAUGAGCAAGCAAAACUACACACAUUUCUAACAACAUCCAACUCAGAAACAAGCAAUCGAGUUUUCGUGUCAGUUCAUUGUCUUCAAACAUAAGUCAUUCCUAAAGGUAGACCCGAGGUACCUGAAGCGCGUCAAUUUCGCAUCGAUCACCAACAUCGAAAGGAUGCAUCACGAAGAGGAAAAU